rnacentral:rRNA from 1 species
UAGAGUUUGAUCCUGGCUCAGAUUGAACGCUGGCGGCAGGCCUAACACAUGCAAGUCGAGCGGAAACGACACUAACAAUCCUUCGGGUGCGUUGAUGGGCGUCGAGCGGCGGACGGGUGAGUAAUGCCUAGGAAAUUGCCUUGAUGUGGGGGACAACCAUUGGAAACGAUGGCUAAUACCGCAUAAUGCCUACGGGCCAAAGAGGGGGAUCUUCGGACCUCUCGCGUCAAGAUAUACCUAGGUGGGAUUAGCUAGUUGGUGAGGUAAUGGCUCACCAAGGCGACGAUCCCUAGCUGGUCUGAGAGGAUGAUCAGCCACACUGGAACUGAGACACGGUCCAGACUCCUACGGGAGGCAGCAGUGGGGAAUAUUGCACAAUGGGCGAAAGCCUGAUGCAGCCAUGCCGCGUGUAUGAAGAAGGCCUUCGGGUUGUAAAGUACUUUCAGUUGUGAGGAAGGGUGUGUAGUUAAUAGCUGCACAUCUUGACGUUAGCAACAGAAGAAGCACCGGCUAACUCCGUGCCAGCAGCCGCGGUAAUACGGAGGGUGCGAGCGUUAAUCGGAAUUACUGGGCGUAAAGCGCAUGCAGGUGGUUCAUUAAGUCAGAUGUGAAAGCCCGGGGCUCAACCUCGGAACUGCAUUUGAAACUGGUGAACUAGAGUGCUGUAGAGGGGGGUAGAAUUUCA